UACAGAGGGGGCAAGCGUUAUUCGGAAUUAUUGGGCGUAAAGGGCGCGUAGGCGGCUUGGCAAGUGGAAGGUGAAAUCCCUCGGCUUAACCGAGGAACUGCCUUCCAGACUGCUUUGCUUGAGUCCGGGAGAGGUGAGUGGAAUUCCCGGUGUAGCGGUGAAAUGCGUAGAUAUUGGGAGGAACACCAGUGGCGAAGGCGGCUCACUGGACCGGUUCUGACGCUGAGGCGCGAAAGCGUGGGGAGCAAACGGG
rnacentral:rRNA from 1 species